GAUGAAAACGUAGCGAAAUGCGAUAAGUAAUGUGAAUUGCAGAAUUCAGUGAAUCAUCGAAUCUUUGAACGCACAUUGCGCCCGCCAGCACUCUGGCGGGCAUGCCUGUUCGAGCGUCAUUUCAACCAUCAAGCCCCCAGGGGCUUGUGCUGGGGCCCUGCGGCUGCCCGCAGGCCCUGAAAACCAGUGGCGGGCUCGCUAGUCACACCGAGCGCAGUAGCACAUCUCGCUCAGGGCGUGCGGCGGGCUCCUGCCGUGAAACCCCCCACUGUAACCCCAAAGGUUGACCUCGGAUCAGGUAGGAAUACCCGCUGAACUUAAGCAUAUCAAUAAGCGGAGGA
rnacentral:misc_RNA from 1 species